GGCAGGCAGGGAGCUGCGUGGAGGCGCGCGGCGACGCGGCAACCACCUCCUGCUCCUACUGGCGAGGAGGAAGACAGCAGCGCUACUGGGCCGGCCUGAGGUGAGCGACAGGAGAUAUUAUCAUGACGCGAAGCACUGUUGGUUCGAUGGGAAUUUUCAAGAUGUGGCAGAAGUACUGGUUGUAAUUGCACCAAUCGAAUAAAUUAUGCGGAGUGGACAACUAUGAGGCAGAUGAAGCUAAUAUCCCUUAAAAAUGUGGAAACUAUUGACGCAUACAAAGUAUAUUUGAUAUGCACGAUGAUGUAUCUGUUGUACUUUGUUUGAUACGAUUACUAAGAUUGAAAACUUGUCUAUGUAAAUCCGUGUUCGAAUCUGAUUAUAUCGUCAAUAAUACACUUAAGUUUUUUUUAA